AGAAAUUGCAACAACAAAAUCCUAAUUCUAAUAGAACACUAACAAUGCUAAACAAGCUUUAAUCAAAUUCAGAGAAACCUCAAAGGAAUUCCAAAGAAACAAUAAGAAAUCUUAAAGAAAUAUUAGAAUGAUUACAAACAUAUCUCAAAUACAUCUCAAUUCAAUCUUAAUUUAAUCCUAGUUGAAAUCUUACUUCUUUCAAACUUUAAGCCAAAAACUAACUAAAUCUUAAAUCUUAAACAAAUUCAAAUAAAAUCCUAAAUACUAAAUCAAAUCAUGAUCAAACCCUAACCAAACUCUAAAUCCUAAAUCAAAUCCUAAUCCUAAAUCAAAUUCUAACCAAAUAUUGAUCCUAAAUCAAACCCUAAUCAAAUUCUAAAUCCUAAAUCAAACUCUAAUUUUAAAUCAAAUCCUAAUCCUAAAUCAAAUCCUAACAAAAUCCUAAUCCUAAUCUUAAAUCCUAAACCAAAUCCUAAUCCUAUAUCAAAACCUAACCAAACCUUAAUCCUGUAUCAAAAUCUAACCAAACCUUAAUCAUAAAUUAAAUCCUAACUAAAUCCUAAAUCCUAAACCAAACCCUAAUUCUAAAUCAAAUCCUAACCAAAUCCUAAAUCUUAAACCAAAUCCUAAUUCUAAAUCAAAUCCUAACCAAAUCCUAAAUCCUAAUCCUAAAUCAAAUCCUAACCAAAUCCUAAUUCUAAUCUUAAAUCCUAAACCAAAUCCUAAUUCUAAUCUUAAAUCUUAAACCAAACCCUAACCAAACCCUAAUCCUAAAUCAAACCUUAACCAAAUCUUAAUCAAAUCUUAACCAAACUUUAACCCUAAAUCAAAUCCUAAUGAAAUCCUAAACUCUAAACCAAACCC
rnacentral:lncRNA from 1 species